GCCGAAUAAAAUAUUUAUUGAACCCGAACGAGACGUGGCCAAUACAGCAACAGUAGUCCGUAGUUUCGUUGAACAAAAAUCCUAGUUCAACGGACCCAUCUCAUCUCACACAUCCAACUAUCCCCAACUCCAUGGCGAAAUCUCAUCUUUUCAUGCUCUCGUUAAUCAUCAUCCCCUUGAUCUCUGCAUCCCCAAAUUCACCAGAACAAAAGCUCUCAGUAGCCCACACAGAACUCACAAAAUACGGGUUCCCCAUCGGAUUACUCCCCACUAACGUCAAGUCCUACACUAUCAACACCACCACCGGCGAUUUCUCCGUGCUUCUCAAGCAUAAAUGCCGAGUGACCCUUCCUCCUGAUAAUUACCUGGCCACUUACUCCAGCAAGAUUACUGGGAAGAUCGUGGAGAAUAAGAUUGCUGAGCUUAAUGGGAUUAAUGUCAAGGCCUUCUUUAGGUGGUGGGGGAUUACUGGGAUUAAGAUGAGUGGUAAAGAUUUGACCUUUGAGGUUGGUGUGCUUUCGGCCAAGUAUCCUGCUGAUAAGUUUGGGGAUACUCCUGCUUGUGAGGGCAAACACUCUUCUUCUUGAAGGUGUCUGCAGGCUGCUUGCACAACAUACAUAUGCAAUAAGUUAUGGCAGGGGUUAAUCUAUAAAUCUUAAAUUAAGUACCUUUUAGUAGGUGCAGGAUCCUGAUAAUUAUCAUGUUUAUACAGUAGAUAUUCCGAGGUGUCUCAUUCUGGGCUACUCUGCUUUUAGAAUGAGCACACAGUGGUUUAUCCUUAUCAGUUCUUGUAGUUUGAUUAAAAGGAUUCCUAAGACAUUAUUUGUGUUGUGUGUUGAUGUAAUAUCUGUUGCACAAACAGACACUUGUAUAUGGAUUGUUUUCAGUGUUUAGGCAUUAAGGUCUGUGUUCCGCUUCUA